rnacentral:rRNA from 1 species
GUCCACGCCGUAAACGUUGGGCGCUAGGUGUGGGGGACAUUCCACGUCCUCCGUGCCGCAGCUAACGCAUUAAGCGCCCCGCCUGGGGAGUACGGCCGCAAGGCUAAAACUCAAAGGAAUUGACGGGGGCCCGCACAAGCGGCGGAGCAUGCGGAUUAAUUCGAUGCAACGCGAAGAACCUUACCUGGAUUUGACAUAUAGGGAAAACUGUCAGAGAUGGCAGGUCCGCAAGGGCCCUAUACAGGUGGUGCAUGGCUGUCGU